GAUGAACGCUGGCGGCGUGCCUAAUACAUGCAAGUCGAGCGAACAGACGAGGAGCUUGCUCCUCUGAUGUUAGCGGCGGACGGGUGAGUAACACGUGGAUAACCUACCUAUAAGACUGGGAUAACUUCGGGAAACCGGAGCUAAUACCGGAUAAUAUAUUGAACCGCAUGGUUCAAUAGUGAAAGACGGUUUUGCUGUUACUUAUAGAUGGAUCCGCGUUGCAUUAGCUAGUUGGUAAGGUAACGGCUUACCAAGGCAACGAUGCGUAGCCGACCUGAGAGGGUGAUCGGCCACACUUGAACUGAGACACGGUCCAGACUCCUACGGGAGGCAGCAGUAGGGAAUCUUCCGCAAUGGGCGAAAGCCUGACGGAGCAACGCCGCGUGAGUGAUGAAGGUCUUCGGAUCGUAAAACUCUUUUAUUAGGGAAGAACAAAUGUGUAAGUAACUAUGCACGUCUUGACGGUACCUAAUCAGAAAGCCACGGCUAACUACGUG
rnacentral:rRNA from 1 species